ACUCUCUCUCUAGCUUUUGAGAGGGAAGGACCGGGCUGCCUGGGAGCUGAGCCGGUACCUGAGGACUUCAGAUGCUUCAACUCCUGGAGAAAAACCAUGGCUGCUUUUGUACUAAAGAAACAGCCAGUUAACUUCAAAGGAUAUUGAAAGCUAAAGAAAGAGCCAGAGUCAGCUACUUCUCUUGCAUUUGCCACUGACUAUCACAGAUAAGUGCUCGCUUAAAAAGAAAAGUCCACAGUAUCAUCAGCUGGACGGAAUGAAUUCCUGCAAGUCCGUAAAUAAAAAGGAAUAAGGCAAAAUGUGAAUUUUGAGCUCCUCUGCCUCCCUGAAAUGAACUCUGACUACAUCUCUACUUGCAAAGCUGUGUAAGAAGAGAGAGCUCCACAGUUGCCCUAGAUGUGACAUGUUUUCGAUCUAUCUACAGUACUGGAGUCAUGAAAUUCCACUGGGCCUGUGGGAAGAAAAUGUCUCUUAUGGGAAUUCACUGGUAUUCAGUGGGAUUAUCCCAGCAGGGCAAGAACUUUCCUGCAGGGCAGACGAAAUGUAAUUAUAUCCUUUAUAUCUUCCUAUGGAUGCUUAUGGAUAUGUCUCUCUAUGUGUACCUGUCUGCCUACCCGCUCAGAUAAAACAGCAACUCCCAGAUGGACAUUGAUCCUUGCUGGAUUGAACUAUAUUGGAAACUCUGAACGACUUUUGCAUUUGGUUACAGGCACCAGAGUAGUGAAACUGCAACAGCCCAGGCUUGGGCACGGGCUGUACAAGCCCACCCAGAACCCUUGGUAAUUACGCAGGGAGUUAAGCUUGAGCUGAAACUUGGCUUGCUGUGACAUUGCUGCUCCAGGACCCGAGCUGGCUAGAUCAAAGCUAGCUCCGGUGUGUCUACCCGAGCCACUGGCGCACCUUGUGAUUGUAGUGCAGAUGCAUCCAAAACGUUUGUGUUCAAGGGCCUAGUUUUGAGAGUGUUUGAGCUGAGCUACGGUUACAGACAGAGCCAAGCAGAGCUUAGAAGUUCUGCUUCCUGUGUGGCUUUGGAUUAAUUCAAAAUCGAAGCAAAAGGAAUAUAGUCUGCAACUAUAGAAAUGGUUCACAUUGAAAUCCCUUGAACCGAAUCCAACACAUUGCACAUGGGGUGUACAUUCUAUAGUGUUGUGCACUAACUGGCCCAUGUGGUCCCAGCUGGUGUGCACUAAAAGUUCCCUAGUGGGCAUGAAUGUGCCUUUUUCACACAGUCCUAUGUUAACAUGCACUAGGGAACUUUUAGUGCACACCAGCAGGUUCCACGUGCGCCAGUUUGGAUAUGUCUACACUGCUGACUCGGGCUCACGGUGCUCUGGCUAAGGGGCUGUUUAAUUGCUAUGUAGACUUCUGGACUUGGGGUAGGGACAAGGUUCUAGGACCCUGUGAGGCGGGAGGGUCCUAGAAACAGAAAUCUACACUGCAGUGAAACAGCCCCACAACUGGGAGCCCAAGUCAGCUGGCAUGGGCUGGCAGCAGGUUUUUAUUCGCUGUGUAGCAAUACCCUUAGUGCACAGCACACUAGUGCAUGCUAGAAUUGACACCCUGCUAGUGUGGACUAAGACAUUGUGUACACAAGUCCUUAGGCUUCUUUUCUUUUUAUCCCACCCUUGCUUAUUAUUUCCUUCUCAAUCAUCACCUAGGUCUUUUUUUUUUUUUUUGCACAUGGGUGGGAGGGAGAGGAGUUGAAGUACCAUGUCUUGGCAACUUUUUCACAUAGUUUUUAACAUGCUGAACAUCAUGGUUUUAUUUUCCCUGUUUGUCAUAACUCCACCGUUUCCAGUUUCAAACAUGCAAUCUCCACAAUGACCUUGAUUUAAUAUGAGGAAUAAAAGGAGUUUGUUUCAUC